rnacentral:lncRNA from 1 species
UCCCGCAACACGACCCCGGCGCACGCACGAAGAUCUCUCUUCGUCUUGCACGGCCUCGAAGGGAAACCUAGAUCUAUUUCUGCCCCUAUAUAUACUGGCCAGAACGAGAGCAAACGUCAAAUCCCAGCCCUGAAACCCUAGCCGCAAUCUGCCUCGACUUCUUUCCCAACCUUUAUCCAUGGUAUACUUCCGUUUAUCCAUCUUCGUAUUUUCUUGGUGUAUGAUAGGGGGAUUGCUUGUGAUGAUUCAGGUCCGAGGAUCUUAGCGGAUUUCGGUGAGGCGGAUUCGUCCGCCGUUGAUCGAUUCAUGUUGUUACACACGCUGAAGCUUUCCCCCCGAUUCGGUUGCCGACUCCUUGCCUUCUCUGGUGAUUUCUUUUCGUUUAUCGAAGUAGGUUGGCUCGUGAUGGUUCAUCUCAAAAUAUCGGUGUGGCGGAUUCAUCCGCCGCUGAUCGAAUCAUGCUCUUACACACGAUGGAGGCCUUUUUAUUCCGAUGUUUCCGUCCUCGCUUUCUCUUUUCUUCUUGGUUUUCCUGAGAUGCGACGCGAUGAUGAUUCAUAUAGGUUUUUCGGCAGUGGUGGCAUCUGUCAUCGUGAGCUUUCAAACCAAAAACGACUUCUCUUUCCACUGAGCAUCGCCCUUUUUACAUUGUUCAUCCCUCGCACGUUUUCGUUCGUUUCUUGGAUUCAUCUCUCUCGGUGAAGAGCUCUCGACCAUAGGAAGUGCCGUAUGACACUGUAAAAAGCGGCUGUUUCUCUGCCGCUGCAAGUGCCCAUCCUCUUAUCAUAACCUCUGUGGUUUGGUCUGGGAUGGAAAUACCCGUUUGCACCAGCUUGAUUCAGCUGUGUGCGUGAUUUUAAACGGUUCUCUGAGGGAUUUCGGUUAUUACUUCUUUCUCUUAACCUAACCUUUUGGUGUUUUUUGUUGGGCCCGAUGCCACGUCUCCGGUAGCUGCAGCCUUGACCGGCGAUGCUACAUUGUGCCGAGAGAGAGUUCUUGGACUUUUCACAUUUGAUAGGAACCUGUGGCUGCAAAUCAGUUGGUACACAGAGCCGUUUUUUGUGAUUACAUUUUGCGCUUGCAUAACCAUAAUAUAGUACUAGUUGCUGUAGGUGUUUUGUAAUUGGUGUAAAUCAAUGGUGAUGAUGAUAAAACUUAGGCUUGUUUCUCAAAACAUUCGCAGUUGGUGCCUAAGAGCUUUCGCCCUGCCAGGCUUGAGAGCUAAUGCUGCUAAUUCCUUCCUUGGAUGUCUGAGCCAUGUUGAUUUCCUAUAUUUAAUCAUGUUUUUUGGUGGCUUCUGUAGGAUCUUGGUUUUAAUCUGGUAUAUGUUGUAGAGAACAAAUAAUUUGUUAUGUAUGUUUACUGAGAUAGAGGUGUGCAUAGUGCCGCAGAGAGAUAUGAAUGAAUGGUAGAACCAUGAAAUCCCAGCUGGCUGCAGGGUUUUAUACACAACGAAUGAACUAUUUUUACCCUCGUGGAUGUUAAGAUGAAUGAGGGCGGUGAAGAUUGAUAUUUGGUCUCGUUCGUCGUAACUGGCAUUUGUUUGCCUUGCCGACCAUACUGCUAUAUCACCACCCAUAUUCUGAGUCCUCUGAAUACAUGUUUUCCUUCUUUUUUGUUCUGAACCAUAUUCAUUUUGUUUGAUGUUUGGUGGAUGUCUUGUUUUUUUUUCUGUAAAACAUAUUAUGUUGUUUCAAUUUUUUUGUCUUCUUACCUAUGAUGAGUUGCGAACUGUAUUGCCUACAUUGUUUGAUCAAAACUUAUGAGAAGCUCAUGCAACAUCUGAGGAUGAAUAAGAAGACCAAAAAAAGUGUUGUCUUUUGAAAUGAAACAUCUUUUUUUUGUUUACUAUUUCAUUUUGUUCUUAUGAUGCUGGAUGAUGUGCAUAGUUCAAAUGAUCUAACUGUGAUUACUUGAACAAAUAGUCUUUGGCCCGAGCUGCUGGCAAUUACAGCAUCUACUUUUGCUCUGCUAUGUUGAUUACGAUCAUAACUGAAUUAACUUAUCCAAGCUACCUGACAAAAUUGACAUAGUAUCUGUAUUCUGCAGCACCUUCAGUUAGGCCCCCUGACUUUGAUCUGCAUGUCACCAAGGAAGGCAUUGUUACCGAACUUGCCCAAUUGAUCUGUGCUGCAGGGCGAUCUUGGCCUUGCACAUCUGGUUGAACACUUUGUUAUGAAGGGUUCUUUUAAGAGCUGUAGUUUUUGUUGUAAUACGAUAUAUGAAUUUUGUCUUUGUUUCAUAAUGCCUGUUUGGUUGGUUAGUAACAUUUGAUUUUCCUGCCUUAGUAUGGCUUGAACCAUAAAUCAUGUGACAAGGAGAUCCAAACUAGAAAUUCUUACACAGUACAAAAAACCUGUUUACCUAAACUAUCCGUAGUUUUGAUUGUUUUAGCCGACAGGAACAAAUUCGUACUUCAUGUCAUCUGCAAUAGCUCCAAAUCGAUUAUCAAGAGCAACUCCAGUGAGGCGACACAUUUUGUUUGCCUGUGUUUGUUUGUGUCGGCGAGGACAACAGUGGAGG